AAAUAUUAUAACAAAGUAUAAUAAUUUACAAAAAGAACAUGAUAAUUUUAUAACUGAAAAUUCGGUAUGCUAUAGAUACAACAAAUGCCGUGUGUUCUUAUGUUUAUAUUAAAACAAAUAAUUAAUUUUAUAACGCAACAAAAAAAAAAAAAAAUAAAAUAAAUAAUAAUAAUAAAAUUUUACAUUUCUUUUAAAAUGUACAGAAUAAAGAACGAACCUUAUUAGAAACGGAACAAAAAGUAAAUAUAGUAGAAAAGAAGAACGAAAUAUACAAGGUUAAAUAUUCUAAAAAAAUAAUAAUUAUAAUAUACAUUGUGCUUGACUUAAUAUCAUAAUAAUUAUUGCUAUUGUUAUUGUUUUUUAUUAUUAUUUUAUCAUUUUUAUAGAAUAAUGUGACAUUAUUAGAUCAUAAAUUGCAGGAAUUACAAGUAUACACAUAUUUAUAUAUAUAUACAUGUACUUAAUAAAAAAUUAACAUAACAUAACUACAUUGUUAAAUAAAUCUUUAUACGAUUUUAUUUAUUUUAUUUGUUUUACUUCUGUAUAUUGUUAAUAUAUAUAUACUUUUUUUUUUUUUUUUUUUUCAAUUAGAACAACGUGGAUUAUGAGCAAAAAAAAAAUACUCAACUAAAAGUAAGAAAUCUUAUUAUAUAUAAAUUUAAAUACAAAUUACAUAUAUUUUUAUUAAUAUAUUCGUAGAAAAAAAACCAAAAAAAUUAAAUAAGGAAAAAUAAAUAAUUUUUUUUUUGUUUUCUUUUUUUUUUGUUAAUAAUAGGAAGAUGUGGAAAAAAAAGAAAAUGACAUUAUUAAACGUGAUUCUAUUAUACAAGUUCGUUCAUUUAAAAUAAAAUACAUAUUUAUAUAUAUGAAAAAAUUAUAUAAUUCUAUGAAUGUUUUUUGAAUGUUGUUUGAAUGUUUUAUUAUGUUUCAUUAUUUUUGUAUAAUGGUACAGAUACUCUACAAUAAAAUAAAAGAUAAUGAAAGACAAUUACGUUUAAUUGAGAGUGAAAAUUUGUCUUUAAAAAACCACAAAAAAGAAUUGAACGAAUUAUUGGAUAGUAAAAAAAAUGAAAUGAACAAUAUUGAAAAUGACUUGUACGAACAAUUAUAUAAUUUGAUAAUAAAAAGAAAAAUAAAAGCAAGAGACGAUUUACGUUUUGAUGGACAUCCUCAUUCGUUUCUUUUAAAAUCAUUUUGGUCUGGAUAUAUAAACAUAUAUAAAAACAUAUUAAAAACGCGAGAUUCAUAUUUGUAUGGAGGAAAUAAAGAUUAUCGUUUUAUUUGUGUCUACGAUACAGAUCUAUUUUUGGAUGUAAAUCAGGAAAAUACGAAUAAGUGUACUUUAUCUUACAAAAACGAAACCAGGGGGAUUUUUUUAAUAAGCGGAGAAAAGGAAAAACAUUUGAUGUAUGUAGGUCCAUUUAAUAAAUAUUAUGGUUAUAAUAUUACAGUAUGUUACAGGACAAACAACUUAGAAGUUAAUAAAGUUAGAAAGUGUUGUUAUAUAUUUGAGCAUAUUUAUGAUACUAAAAGGGGUACACAGUUGGUUUUAAUAAAAGAUAAAAAAAGUGGAAAAUAUUUUAGUGGCUUACGAAACAAUUUUUAUUUCAAGUAUAACAAUAAUAGUAUUAAUUAUAUUAAUAACAAUAGUAUUAGUAAGAGUAGUAGUAAUAGUAGUAGUAAUUAUAGUAGUAAUCGUAGUAGUAAUCGUAGUAGUAAUAAUAAAAAAAAAGGAGUUGAUAAAACAGAUUAUAACAAUGCUGUAAACAAGUUAAUUGAUUAUAUAACAAAUGAUAAAGAAGAAAAUGGGAAUAUUAUUUUAAAAAAAACAAAUGACAAACUAAAAAUCGAAAAUGAAGAAAUAAGUACAAAAAACACUUUACUAGUAGAAAAAAAUAAUGAGACUAUAAAUACUAAUAAUGUAAAAUAUGAUAUAUAUACGAAAAAGACAACAAAUUUAUAUAACACAAUGGGAAAAAUUUUUAAUAAAUAUAAACAAAAAAAAAAUAGUUUUAAAAACGAAAAAUUAGAAAAAAAAAAACUUAUCAAUAGAAAAAGAAAAUAA
ensembl:lncRNA